GCUGUCACUUAUGGAUGGACCCGCGUCGCAUUACCUAGUUGGUGAGGUAACGGCUCACCAAGGCAACGAUGCGUACCCAACCUGAAAGGGUGAUCGGCCACACUGGGACUGAAACACGGCCCAAACUCCUACGGGAGGCAGCAGUAGGGAAUCUUCCGCAAUGGACAAAAGUCUGACGGACCAACGCCCCGUGAGUGAUGAAGGUUUUCGGGUCGUAAAACUCUGUUGUUAGGGAAAAACAAGUGCUAUUUGAAUAAGCUGGCACCUUGACGGUACCUAACCAAAAAGCCACGGCUAACUACUUGCCACCACCCGCGGUAAUACUUAGGUGGCAAGCGUUAUCCGGAAUUAUUGGGCGUAAAGCGCGCGCAGGUGGUUUCUUAAUUCUGAUGUGAAACCCCCCGGCUCAACCGGGGAGGGUCAUUGGAAACUGGGAAACUUGAGUGCAAAAA
rnacentral:rRNA from 1 species